rnacentral:rRNA from 1 species
GAUGAACGCUGGCGGCGUGCCUAAUACAUGCAAGUCGAGCGAACAGACGAGGAGCUUGCUCCUCUGACGUUAGCGGCGGACGGGUGAGUAACACGUGGAUAACCUACCUAUAAGACUGGGAUAACUUCGGGAAACCGGAGCUAAUACCGGAUAAUAUAUUGAACCGCAUGGUUCAAUAGUGAAAGACGGUUUUGCUGUCACUUAUAGCUGGAUCCGCGCCGCAUUAGCUAGUUGGUAAGGUAACGGCUUAGCAAGGCAACGAUGCGUAGCCGACCUGAGAGGGAGGUCGGCCACACUGGAACUGAGACACGUUCCAGACUCCUGCGGGGAGCAGCAGUAGGGAAUCGUACGCAAUGGGCGAGAGGCUGACGGAGCAACGCCGCGUGAGUGAUGAAGGUCUUCGGAUCGUAAAGCUCUGUUGUUAGGGGAGAACAAAUGUGUAAGUAACUAUGCACGUCUUGACGGUACCUAAGCAAAAAGCCACGGCUAACUACGUG